AGACGAACCGUCCAAACGUUAUUCGGAAUUACUGGGCUUAAAGGGUGCGUAGGCGGCUUCGCAAGUUGGGUGUGAAAGCCCUCGGCUCAACCGAGGAAUGGCGCCCAAAACUGCGGAGCUCGAGGGAGACAGAGGUGAGUGGAACUUGUGGUGGAGCGGUGAAAUGCGUUGAUAUCACAAGGAACACCGGUGGCGAAAGCGGCUCACUGGGUCUCUUCUGACGCUGAGGCACGAAAGCUGGGGGAGCGAACGGGAUUAGAUACCCCGGUAGUCCCAGCUGUAAACGAUGAGCACUAGAUCGAAGGGUCCUCCAUAGCCUUUCGGUCGUAGCGAAAGUGUUAAGUGCUCCGCCUGGGGAGUAUGGUCGCAAGGCUGAA
rnacentral:rRNA from 1 species